rnacentral:tRNA from 2 species
GGGUUAGUAUCCUAAUUGGUAAGGAACUUUCUUGUCAAGAAAGAAUAUGUCGGAUCAAGACCGACCUGACUCG